rnacentral:rRNA from 1 species
AAUAUUGGACAAUGGGGGCAACCCUGAUCCAGCCAUGCCGCGUGUGUGAAGAAGGUCUUCGGAUUGUAAAGCACUUUAAGUUGGGAGGAAGGGCUUUAGGGUAAUACUCUGAUGUUUUGACGUUACUAACAGAAUAAGCAACGUAUAACUCUGUGCAAGCCGCCGCGGUAGUACAAAGGGUGCAAGCGUUAAUCGGAAUUACUGGGCGUAAAGCGCGCGUAGGUGGUUCAGUAAGAUGGGUGUGAAAUCCCCGGGCUUAACCUGGGAACUGCUUUCAUAACUGCUGAGCUAGAGUACGGUAGAGGGUAGUGGAAUUUCCUGUGUAGCGGUGAAAUGCGUAGAUAUAGGAAGGAACACCAGUGGCGAAGGCGACUACCUGGACUGAUACUGACACUGAGGUGCGAAAGCGUGGGGAGCAAAC